rnacentral:tRNA from 1 species
GCCGGGGUGGCGGAAUGGCAGACGCAGGCGACUUAAAAUCGCCCGUGAGAUUCACGUGCGGGUUCGAGUCCCGCCCCCGGCA